rnacentral:rRNA from 1 species
UACGUAGGGUGCGAGCGUUAAUCGGAAUUACUGGGCGUAAAGCGUGCGUAGGUGGUUCGUUGUGUCUGUGGUGAAAGCCCCGGGCUUAACCUGGGAAUGGCCAUGGAAACUGGCGAGCUGGAGUGUGGCAGAGGGGGGUGGAAUUCCGCGUGUAGCAGUGAAAUGCGUAGAGAUGCGGAGGAACACCGAUGGCGAAGGCAGCCCCCUGGACUAACACUGACGCUGAGGCACGAAAGCGUGGGGAGCAAACAGG